rnacentral:rRNA from 1 species
AGCUUGCUCCCUGAGAUUAGCGGCGGACGGGUGAGUAACACGUGGGCAACCUGCCUAUAAGACUGGGAUAACUUCGGGAAACCGGAGCUAAUACCGGAUACGUUCUUUUCUCGCAUGAGAGAAGAUGGAAAGACGGUUUACGCUGUCACUUAUAGAUGGGCCCGCGGCGCAUUAGCUAGUUGGUGAGGUAAUGGCUCACCAAGGCGACGAUGCGUAGCCGACCUGAGAGGGUGAUCGGCCACACUGGGACUGAGACACGGCCCAGACUCCUACGGGAGGCAGCAGUAGGGAAUCUUCCGCAAUGGACGAAAGUCUGACGGAGCAACGCCGCGUGAACGAAGAAGGCCUUCGGGUCGUAAAGUUCUGUUGUUAGGGAAGAACAAGUACCAGAGUAACUGCUGGUACCUUGACGGUACCUAACCAGAAAGCCACGGCUAACUACGUGCCAGCAGCCGCGGUAAUACGUAGGUGGCAAGCGUUGUCCGGAAUUAUUGGGCGUAAAGCGCGCGCAGGUGGUUCCUUAAGUCUGAUGUGAAAGCCCACGGCUCAACCGUGGAGGGUCAUUGGAAACUGGGGAACUUGAGUGCAGAAGAGGAAAGUGGAAUUCCAAGUGUAGCGGUGAAAUGCGUAGAGAUUUGGAGGAACACCAGUG